UACGUAGGCAGCGAGCGUUGUUCGGAAUUACUGGGCGUAAAGAGUGUGUAGGCGGUGCUCUAAGUUCGGUGUGAAAUCUCCUGGCUUAACUGGGAGGGUGCGCCGGAAACUGGAGUGCUUGAGCGUGGGAGAGGAAAGCGGAAUUCCUGGUGUAGCGGUGAAAUGCGUAGAUAUCAGGAGGAACACCUGCGGUGUAGACGGCUUACUGGACCAUAACUGACGCUGAGGCACGAAAGCGUGGGUAGCAAACAGG
rnacentral:rRNA from 1 species